AGCGAACGCUGGCGGCAGGCUUAACACACGCAAGUCGAACGCCCCGCAAGGGGAGUGGCAGACGGGUGAGUAACACGUGGGAACGUACCCUUUGGUUCGGAAUAACUUGGGGAAACUCAAGCUAAUACCGGAUAAGCCCUUAUGGGGAAAGGUUUACUGCCGAAGGAUCGGCCCGCGCCUGAUUAGCUAGUUGGUGAGGUAAUGGCUCACCAAGGCGACGUUCAGUAGCUGGUCUGAGAGGAUUAUCAGCCACACUGGGACUGAGACACGGCCCGCAGUCCUACGGGAGGCAGCUGUGGGGAAUAUUGGACAAUGGGGGCAACCCUGAUCCAGCCAUGCCGCGUGAGUGAUGAAGGCCUUAGGGUUGUAAAGCUCUUUUACCCGGGACGAUAAUGACUGUACCGGGAGAAUAAGGCCCGGGUAACUUCGUGCCAGCCGCCGCGGUAA
rnacentral:rRNA from 1 species